rnacentral:tRNA from 1 species
UAGGGGAACCUGCGGCUGGAUCACCUCCUUUCUAAGGAUGGUUCUUCAGAAGCUUGCUUCUAUCGAACCGUUUUAGAAACAUCAGUGGCCAACAGAUCGCCAGAUCGUUGAGCUGCAUUGGCGGGAUUUCGCCGUCUUCGUUUCUCUUUCUUCGCGGACGAACACGCGCUGGGCCUGCAUCGAGCAGGAUCCCACGGUCCCUGACGGGAUAUGCGUUAGGGGCUUGUAGCUCAGUUGGUUAGAGCGCGCGCUUGAUAAGCGUGAGGUCGGAAGUUCAAGUCUUCCCAGGCCCACCACUUUCAGUGAGCAUUCGUCUUCUGGUUACGGGGCCAUAGCUCAGCUGGGAGAGCGCGUGCUUUGCAAGCAUGAGGUCGUCGGUUCGAUCCUGUCUGGCUCCACCAGAUGGUUUGAUCACCGAGAUCUUGUACCGUCGUCCGCGAAACAUCACUUCGCAUCCUGCUAGUCUGGAUAGACAGCAAGAUGCGUGUUUUCUGACAUCGUAAAGAGGAGAUCGAUCCGAGUUGGGUCGUGCAGCAGAUUGUUGCGCGGAUCCUUCAUUAUCUCCGGAUCAUUUUCGGCGCUCGCUCUCAGCCGUGAGGUUGAAUGCGAGUUGUAAAAUGAUCCUUUUAGCGAAGCUUGACCGCCUCGCUAUCGGAACGAUCUUACGAAGCAAGCUGGUCUUUCUAGUCAAUGUCCGGCUGCACGUAGCAUUCAUCGAGGGUGCGCGCCUUAGAGACUUCGGUUUCUCGGCAAUCGUGCAGACAACAUUCUGCCGAGUGUGUGGACAUUGAUAAUGAGAGCA